rnacentral:rRNA from 1 species
UACGUAGGGGGCAAGCGUUGUCCGGAAUCAUUGGGCGUAAAGCGCGUGUAGGCGGGUCGGUAAGUCCGCUCUGAAAGCCCGGGGCUCAACCCCGGGAGGCGGGUGGAUACUGUCGACCUCGAGUCCGGAAGAGGCGAGUGGAAUUCCUGGUGUAGCGGUGAAAUGCGCAGAUAUCAGGAGGAACACCAAUGGCGAAGGCAGCUCGCUGGGACGGUACUGACGCUGAGGCGCGAAAGCCAAGGGAGCAAACGGG